rnacentral:rRNA from 1 species
CCUACGGGCGGCAGCAGUGAGGAAUAUUGGUCAAUGGACGAGAGUCUGAACCAGCCAAGUAGCGUGAAGGAUGACUGCCCUAUGGGUUGUCAACUUCUUUUAUAAAGGAGUACAACGAGUCACGUGUGCAUUUUUGCAUGUACUUUAUGAAUAAGGAUCGGCUAACUCCGUGCCAGCAGCCGCGGUAAUACGGAGGAUCCGAGCGUUAUCCGGAUUUAUUGGGUUUAAAGGGAGCGUAGAUGGGUUGUUAAGUCAGUUGUGAAAGUUUGCGGCUCAACCGUAAAAUUGCACUUGAUACUGGCAGUCUUGAGUACAGUUGAGGUAGGCGGAAUUCGUGGUGUAGCGGUGAAAUGCUUAGAUAUCACGAAGAACCCCGAUUGCGAAGGCAGCUUACUAAACUGUGACUGACAUUGAUGCUCGAAAGUGUGGGUAUCAAACAGGAUUAGAUACCCGAGUAGUC